rnacentral:rRNA from 1 species
UACGUAGGGGGCUAGCGUUGUCCGGAAUCAUUGGGCGUAAAGCGCGUGUAGGCGGCCCGAUAAGUCCGCUGUGAAAGUCCAGGGCUCCAACCCUGGGAUGCCGGUGGAUACUGUCGGGCUCGAGUCCGGAAGAGGCGAGUGGAAUUCCUGGUGGUAGCGGUGAAAUGCGCAGAUAUCAGGAGGAACACCAAUGGCGAAGGCAGCUCGCUGGGACGUGACUGACGCUGAGACGCGAAAGCGUGGGGGAGCAAACAGG